GACGAACGCUGGCGGCGUGCUUAACACAUGCAAGUCGAACGAAGUGGCGAACGGGUGAGUAAUACGUGGGUAACCUGCCCUCCUUUUUGGGAUAAGCCUUGGAAACGGGGUCUAAUACCGUAUAAAGGGGGAUGGGCUCGCGGCCUAUCAGCUUGUUGGUGGGGUGAUGGCCUACCAAGGGGGUGAAGGGUAGCCGGCCGGAGAGGGGAACCGGCGACUGUGGGACUGAGCUACGGCCCAGACUCGUACGGGAGGCGGAAGUGGGGGCUAUGGCACAAUGGGCGAAAGCCUGAUGCAGCGACGCCGAGUGGGGGAUGAAGGCUGUCGGGUUGUAAUCCUCUUUCGCUAUCGAAAGGGUAGGUGGAGAAGAAGCGCCGGCUAACUACGUGCCAGCCGCCGCGGUAAUUC
rnacentral:rRNA from 1 species